GGCUUCGGUCUAAGUUGAGUGGCGAACGGGUAAGUAACACGUGGGUGACCUACCUUCGAGUGGGGGAUAACGUCCCGAAAGGGACGCUAAUACCGCAUAACAUCCUGCCGUUGAAAGCGGUGGAGAUCAAAGCCGGGGAUCGCAAGACCUGGCGCUUGAUGAGGGGCCCGCGCCUGAUUAGCUAGUUGGUGGGGUAAUGGCUCACCAAGGCGACGAUCAGUAUCCGGCCUGAGAGGGCGGACGAACACACUGGGACUGAGACACGGCCCAGACUCCUACGGGAGGCAGCAGUGGGGAAUUGUUCGCAAUGGGCGCAAGCCUGACGACGCAACGCCGCGUGGAGGAUGAAGGUCUUCGGAUUGUAAACUCCUGUUGCUCGGGACGAAAAGCUUCGACCUAACACGUCGAAGUCUGACGGUACCGAGUGAGGAAGCCCCGGCUAACUCUGUGCCAGCAGCCGCGGUAAUACAGAGGGGGCAAGCGUUGUUCGGAAUUACUGGGCGUAAAGGGCGCGUAGGCGGCCUGCUAAGUCGAACGUGAAAUCCCUGGGCUCAACCCAGGAACUGCGUCCAAUACUGGUUGGCUUGAAUCCGGGAGAGGGAUGUGGAAUUCCAGGUGUAGCGGUGAAAUGCGUAGAUAUCUGGAGGAACACCGGUGGCGAAGGCGACAUCCUGGACCGGUAUUGACGCUGAGGCGCGAAAGCCAGGGGAGCAAACGGGAUUAGAUACCCCGGUAGUCCUGGCCCUAAACGAUGAAUGCUUGGUGUGGCGGGUAUCGAUCCCUGCCGUGCCGAAGCUAACGCAUUAAGCA
rnacentral:rRNA from 1 species